UACGUAGGGGGCAAGCGUUGUCCGGAUUUAUUGGGCGUAAAGAGCGUGUAGGCGGCCAUACAGGUCCGUUGUGAAAACUCGAGGCUUAACCUCGAGACGUCGAUGGAAACCGUAUGGCUAGAGUCCGGAAGAGGAGAGUGGAAUUCCUGGUGUAGCGGUGAAAUGCGCAGAUAUCAGGAGGAACACCGGUGGCGAAGGCGGCAUCCUGGACCGAGAUUGACGCUGAGGCGCGAAAGCUAGGGUAGCAAACGGG
rnacentral:rRNA from 1 species